CAGCCGCCGCGGGAAUACAGAGGGUGCAAGCGUUAAUCGGAAUUACUGGGCGUAAAGCGCGCGUAGGUGGUUUGUUAAGUUGGAUGUGAAAGCCCCGGGCUCAACCUGGGAACUGCAUCCAAAACUGGCAAGCUAGAGUACGGUAGAGGGUGGUGGAAUUUACUGUGUAGCGGUGAAAUGCGUAGAUAUAGGAAGGAACACCAGUGGCGAAGGCGACCACCUGGACUGAUACUGACACUGAGGUGCGAAAGCGUGGGGAGCAAACAGGAUUAGAUACCCCAGUAGUCCCUGUCUCUUAUAC
rnacentral:rRNA from 1 species